rnacentral:misc_RNA from 1 species
GAAAUGCGAUAAGUAAUGUGAAUUGCAGAAUUCCGUGAAUCAUCGAAUCUUUGAACGCACAUUGCGCCCCCUGGCAUUCCGGGGGGGCAUGCCUGUCCGAGCGUCAUUUCUGCCCUCAAGCACGGCUUGUGUGUUGGGUGUGGUCCCCCCGGGGACCUGCCCGAAAGGCAGCGGCGACGUCCGUCUGGUCCUCGAGCGUAUGGGGCUCUGUCACUCGCUCGGGAAGGACCUGCGGGGGUUGGUCACCACCAUAUUUCACCACGGUUGACCUCGGAUCAGGUAGGAGUUACCCGCUGAACUUAAGC